AGCUCAUAGAGAGAUCUGUGGGCUGUGGGAGGGAGUUUUCAUUUAUUCUAAAUGCAAUGGAUAGUCAGCUGAGGGUUGGAAACCUGUUUACAGCUUUUAAAGUCUUCCUUUGGACAGUGUCUCUUGCUGAACCUGGAACUCAUUGAUUAGGUAAGACUAGCUGGCCACCGAAACUCAGGGAUCCUCUGUCUCCUCUCCCCACAAGCACCAACACAGUACGGUUUGCUUGAGUUUGAGCUGACGAAACUUUGGUUGUCACCGCAGUCCCGUGGGCAGGGACUGACUUUGAUGAUGAACUUCAGCUCUAUAGUGAGCCACUGAGGUCAGCGUGGACUACGCCAGGACUCUUACCCUUCCUAUCGCCUGACUUGAGCAGAUAUCUGGACUUUCGGCAAAACAUCUUGCUGGCUGGAGCCACUGUGACCUGCAAUGUGUAUUCUCAAGGCAGCAUGUAUCAACGAAAUGAACUCCCCUUUGCAGAAUGAUUCCUGGAGAACGAAACCAGCAAGUCCUGCACACGAACAAGCUGGUGCCUUUCUAUUUUUGCCUCUUUUCCCCGGUAUAUACCUUAGAACAAAACUGAGAUCAGAUCAAAAGUGAGAACUGAUUUUAAGUCCAAAACUGUGAAGAAAUCACAGUACCCCUUUGUUUAA